rnacentral:antisense_RNA from 1 species
CUCAGAGGAGGCCACAGGUCCCCGGGCAUCCUCAGCUGCUUCUGAAACCUGGGGGGCUGUGGUGGGAAACAGCCCGGACAGGCUGUUCUCAACACUCUCUACUGCAAACUACACACAGUUUUACGUCGCCAGAAAGACCCCAAAUUUCUAUUCAAAAAGACGGUACCAGUUUCAGUUCCCACCAACCUCAAAGGCAGAGACAAAAGGACGGUGCGCCCUCCUGUAACUUCAUUUCUUCGGUGACUGUGAAGCUGAGGGCAGAGUCCACGCCUGGGGACAGGGCUGCCACCGCAGCGGCCACCGCGCCCGACGCUCGCUCCUCCUCCCAGA